GUUCCCUCCUCCUCUUUCCUCCCUUCAUCCCUAGUGAUGGCCGAUCUUAUUGGGCCUAAAGCGUCCGUAGCUGGCUGCGCAAGUCCGUCGGGAAAUCCACUCGCCCAACGAGUGGGCGUCCGACGGAAACUGCACAGCUUGGGACCGGAAGGCUCGAAGGGUACGUUCGGGGUAGGAGUGAAAUCCCAUAAUCCCGCACGGACCACCGAUGGCGAAAGCACUUCGAGAAAACGGAUCCGACAGUGAGGGACGAAAGCCAGGGUCUCCAACCGGAUUAGAAACCCUGGUAGUCC
rnacentral:rRNA from 1 species